rnacentral:rRNA from 1 species
AUGGUGGUGAUGUUGUUGGGCUGGUUGUGUCCUCGUGUGCGGCAGCAACGGCCUCCCUCCUGUAGCCCUAUCGAUGGCCAUGGCAUGGUGACCUCCACGGACGAGGAAAGGAGAGGAGGACAAGCAGACCCUGAUGCCAAGUAUUCCUCAGGGUCCCAGCACAAGGACAAGCAGCAGCAACAACAUCUUCUUCCAUUCAGCCCAAGGACAAGCAGCAGCAGCGACCACAGCAGAUGA